rnacentral:misc_RNA from 1 species
CUUGGGGUACCUGAGCUUUGUGGAAGAAUUUUUGGAAGAUAUCCCUACCACCAAAAAUACUGGUGUUUCUAUGGACCAUGAUUCAAGAACGUCUACCCACCAAUGUACUUUUCCAUAAGAAAAUUCAGUAUUUGCCUCCAGAUUGCAUUUUUUGUGGUGAGGUUGAGACAACAAAGCAUCUUUUUUUGGAGUGUCCGAGGGUCAUUGACAUUUGGAUCCACUCCCCUUUCCGGAUCCGUUCUUCAUUAAUCCAAGGCGCAUCGAUGAUGGAUUGCUGGACUUCUCUCUUAAUGCCGCUGAAGGAGAAUGAUUAGCAUAAACAAUUUAUUCCUUUGUUGGGUUUUCUUUUAUGGCAAAUAUGGAAGAGUAGGAACUCAGGUAUCUUUAGGAAUUAGUUUGUCAAUGCUUCAGAGGUCAUAUCAGUUGCCAUUCACCAACAAGAGGAAUUUUCAUCAUCACAGUCUCCCUCUCUUCAACAAUCUGCAUCGAACCAGCCCCUGCAUCAAUUUUGGCAACCUCCACCUCAAGAGGUGAUUAAGAUAAAAUUUGAUGGUGCUACCUUAGAACGUCUCAAUGCAAGAGCAGCUGCAGCCAUAGCGAGAAAUCAUCAUGGAGAACCUUGUGGUUGGUUAAGUACCAAAUUUAAUUGCAUAUCAAACCCUCAAACAGUAGAAGCGAUAGCUUGCAAAAACGCUUUACUUUUAGCCAAGGAAAGAGAUUUUCAACAAAUUCUGGUAAAAGCGGACUCCCUUACAGUUAUUCAGUGUCUCCACGGGUCCCCUCCACCUUCUGAGAUAAAAGGAAUCAUUGAUGACAUCCGUCAUCUUGCUGCUGGAUUACAAAGAGUUAGUUUUGUCCAUAUUUAUAGAUUAGGCAAUGAUGUAGCUCGUCAUAUAGCUACAAAAACUCUGCAUGAUUAUUCUUUUUCUUGUAAUCCCAUGACUCAAGCUGACUUUAU